CUGCAACCCUGGACACACCUGACCGCAGGUUCUUCACCUGAAGACGACGGACAUUAUCAAUACUUAAGGGCAAACAACAGAAUUACAGCAUUAAUCAGCACAACAGGGAGAAACAUUUUAACCCUCUGACUAAAAAACCUGCCCUACUUGCUGAUCCAAACGCUGCAGACGCAUCCUGUUCCGGCCGAACCUAGUAUUCUUCACCCUAUCCUGCAUGUGCAUCGAUAAAAACCAACAAACAAACAAACAAAGGGGCUGGUGUCUCGCUGGUGAAGGCUGCUCUCCCUCUUGUUGGGCCAGGUGUUGGACAUAGACAGAGAGGGAUCACCGUGGCGACGGGACAUUGUUGGAGUUAGCAUGCCUCCUGGGAGUGUAGGCAGUGGG